AGUAUAAUUUAAAGUAGGGCCUGCCCACUGAUUUUAUUAAAGGGCCGCAGUAUUUUGACUGUGCAAAGGUAGCAUAAUCAUUAGUUUUUUAAUUGAAAGCUUGUAUGAAUGGUUUGAUGAAAAAAUGACUUUCUUUAGUUAAUAAAAAAAAAUUUAUUUUUAAGUUAAAAAGCUUAAAUGUUUAUAAUAGACGAGAAGACCCUAUAGAGUUUAAUUAUUUUAAUUUUAAAAAUUUUUAGAAUUUAUAAUUUUUAUUUAUAUAAUAAUUUGAUUGGGGUGAUUAAAAAAUUAAUUUAACUUUUUUUUUAUUUAACCAUUUAUUUAUGUGUAUUGAUC
rnacentral:rRNA from 1 species